AACUUGCCCGCUGGACUGAUGAGGAAAUUCCUUUUACCUUUCUAACCAAAGCGAAAAAUUUUAUCGAAGAUCAUAAACAGG
rnacentral:sRNA from 1 species